AUACGUGAAGUCUUGCUUGAGAAUGCUUCGGACACCUAGCUGUAGAAGGAAGAAUAGAAAUUGUAAUAAUAAAAUCUAAAUUCUAAUAAAAUACUAAUAAUGCUCUAAUUAGACCAUAAUAAUAUUAAGUUAGCUUAAUCAAAUUAAAAAAAAAACCUCAAAGAAAUUUCAAACAAAAAAUAGGAAUUCUUAAAUAAGUAUUAGAAGGAUCACAAAUAUCACUCAAAUAUAUCUCAAUUCAAUCUUGAUUUAAUUCUAGUUAAAAUCCUAUAAAACUUCAUUCAAACUUUAGGCCAAAACUAAGUGAAUCUUUAAUCCUAAUAAAAUCAUAAAUCCUAAAUCAAACCCUAAACAAACCUUAAACCAAAUCCCAACCUAAUCCUAAACCAAAUCCUAAUCAAAUCCUAAAUCAAACCCUAAUCCAAAUCCUAAAUCCUAAAUCAAAUUCUAACUAAAUUCUAAACCCUAAAUAAAAUCCUAAUCAAAUCUUAAAUCAAACACUAAUCCAAACCUUAAAUCCUAAACCAAACCCUAACCA
rnacentral:lncRNA from 1 species